rnacentral:rRNA from 1 species
AUGCCUGUGAAGAAGCCUCGAUCGGAGCUGACGCCGGCGGGGCUCGCCAAGCUCGAUGCCGAAUCGGCAAAGAGGAGGAACCAGCGAACUGUUGCGGCGGAGAAGAAGGUCGCCGCCGAGUGUGCCGUGCGACGUGCGGCGCGGCACCAGGACAACGUCGACGACAAGAAGUCCAUCGGCGCCAAGGCGCACGCCCUCCUCAUGUUGGGUAUGUGCCGCCCCACGCCGGGCAUUCUCUCGACCGCUGCCAUGGCCGCGACCAGCAUAGGCUCCUCGACACAUCGUCCACCGCAACACUGUUCCCCGAGCUAG